GAACGAUUAAAGCCCCUUCGGGGGUGUAUACAGUGGCGAAAGGGCGAGUAACGCGUUCCUACGUACCCCGAGGUCGAGGAUAGCCCAGGGAAACUUGGAGUAAUACUCGAUGUGGUGCUUCGGCAUCAAAGGCUUCGGUCGCCUUGGGAGCGGGGAACGUCUUAUCAGGUUGUUGGUGAGGUAACGGCUCACCAAGCCUAAGACGGGUAGCGGGUGUGAGAGCAUGGCCCGCCGCAUCGGGACUGAGACACUGCCCGGACUCCUACGGGAGGCUGCAGUAACGAAUCUUCCGCAAUGCGCGAAAGCGUGACGGAGCAAUGCCGCGUGCAGGAUGAAGCCUUUCGGGGUGUAAACUGCUGUCAGGGUUUAGCAACACAAUGAGCAGACCCAAAGGAAGGGCCGGCUAACUUCGUGCCAGCAGCCGCGGUAAUACGAAGGGCCCGAGCGUUAAUCGGAAUCACUGGGCUUAAAGCGUACGUAGGCGGACGCGCAGGCAUCUUGUGAAAUCCCUCGGCUCAACCGAGGAACUGCUUGGUGAACCGCGUGUCUUGAGGCAAGUA
rnacentral:rRNA from 1 species